GACGAACGCUGGCGGCGUGCCUAAUACAUGCAAGUAGAACGAGUUGCGAACGGGUGAGUAACGCGUGGUAACCUGCCUCAUAGCGGGGUAUAACUAUUGGAAACGAUAGCUAAUACCGCAUACUGUGAGAUGGACCUGCGUUGUAUUCGCUCGUUGGUGAGGUAAAGGCUCACAAAGGCGACGAUCCCUGGCUGGUCUGAGAGGAGGACGAGCAACACGGGAACUGAGAAACGGUCCAGACUCCUACGGGAGGAAGAAGUGGGGAAUAUUGGACAAGGGGCGCAAGCCUGAUGAAGCCAGGCCGCGUGUAUGAAGAGGGCUUUCGGGUGGUAAAGUACUUUCAGCGGGGAGGCGUUACCCGAAGAAGAAGCAACGGCUAACUCCGUGCCAGCAGCCGCGGUAAUAC
rnacentral:rRNA from 1 species